rnacentral:rRNA from 1 species
CCCUUAGAUGUUCUGGGCCGCACGCGCGCUACACUGAUGCAUUCAACGAGCACCCGCUGGGCCGAGAGGUUCGGCUAAUCUUUGAACGUGCAUCGUGCUGGGGAUAGAUGAUUGCAAUUAUUCAUCUUCAACGAGGAAUUCCUAGUAAACGCAAGUCAUCAGCUUGCAUUGAUUACGUCCCUGCCCUUUGUACACACCGCCCGUCGCACCUACCGAUUGAAUGGUCCGGUGAAAUCUCGGGACGGCGGCUUGGUCGCUUGCGUCCGACUGCUGAAACUUGAUUAAACCAUAUCAUUUAGAGGAAGGUGAAGUCGUAACA